CCUACGGGUGGCAGCAGUGGGGAAUAUUGCGCAAUGGGCGAAAGCCUGACGCAGCGACGCCGCGUGAGGGAUGAAGGUCUUCGGAUCGUAAACCUCUGUCAGCAGGGAAGAACGGUCACUGUGCUAAUCAGCAGUGAAUUGACGGUACCUGCAAAGGACGCACCGGCUAACUCCGUGCCAGCAGCCGCGGUAAUACGGAGGGUGCGAGCGUUAAUCGGAAUAACGGGGCGUAAAGGGCUAGUAGGCGGGAAGUCAAGUCAAGGGUGAAAUCCCCGCGCUCAACGUGGGAACUGCCUUUGAAACGGGCAAACUUGAGUGUAGGAGAGGAUAGUGGAAUUCCAGGUGUAGGAGUGAAAUCCGUAGAUAUCUGGAGGAACAUCAGUGGCGAAGGCGACUAUCUGGCACAUAACUGACGCUGAGGAGCGAAAGCGUGGGUAGCAAACAGGAUUAGAUACCCCAGUAGUC
rnacentral:rRNA from 1 species